rnacentral:rRNA from 1 species
AUUGAACGCUGGCGGCAGGCCUAACACAUGCAAGUCGAGCGGAUGAGAGGAGCUUGCUCCUCGAUUCAGCGGCGGACGGGUGAGUAAUGCCUAGGAAUCUGCCUAGUAGUGGGGGACAACGUUUCGAAAGGAACGCUAAUACCGCAUACGUCCUACGGGAGAAAGUGGGGGAUCUUCGGACCUCACGCUAUUAGAUGAGCCUAGGUCGGAUUAGCUAGUUGGUAGGGUAACGGCCUACCAAGGCGACGAUCCGUAACUGGCCUGAGAGGAUGAUCAGUCACUCUGGACAUGAGACACGGUCCAGAAUCGUACGAGAGGCAGCAGUAGGGGAUAUUGGACAAUGGGCGAAAGCCUGAUCCAGCCAUACCGCGUGUGUGAAGAAGGCCCUCGGGUCGUAAAGCACUUUAAGUUGGGAGGAAGGGCUUACAGCGAAUACCUGUGAGUUUUGACGUUACCGACAGAAUAAGCACCGGCUAACUUCGUGCCAGCCGCCGCAGUAA